GACGAACGCUGGCGGCGUGCUUAACACAUGCAAGUCGAACGAAGAGCGAUGGAAGCUUGCUUCUAUCAAUCUUAGUGGCGAACGGGUGAGUAACGCGUAAUCAACCUGCCCUUCAGAGGGGGACAACAGUUGGAAACGACUGCUAAUACCGCAUACGAUCUAAUCUCGGCAUCGAGGAUAGAUGAAGGGUGGCCUCUACAUGUAAGCUAUCACUGAAGGAGGGGAUUGCGUCUGAUUAGCUAGUUGGAGGGGUAACGGCCCACCAAGGCGAUGAUCAGUAGCCGGUCGGAGAGGAUGAACGGCCACAUUGGGACUGAGACACGGCCCAGACUCCUACGGGAGGCAGCAGUGGGGAAUCUUCCGCAAUAGACGAAAGUCUGACGGAGCAACGCCGCGUGAGCGAUGACGGCCUUCGGGUUGUAAAGCUCGGUUAAUCGGGACGAAAGGCCUUCUUGCGAAUAGGGAGAAGGAUUGACGGUACCGGAAUAGAAAGCCACGGCUAACUACGUG
rnacentral:rRNA from 1 species